rnacentral:lncRNA from 1 species
AGACGAGGUUCAUCAUCUGAAGCGAGCCCCGGGGUGGGGGCUGGACGGCGGACCGUCCCGUGGUGUCGGGGUCGUUUACCUGUUAGGAAAUGGGAGAUAACACGGAACUUUGGCCGCCAGGUGUCACUGUAGGCGUUCCUGCUGAUUCAAUUUGCGCCGGUGCCGUUCGGAGCCGUGCCGUGCGGUGAAAGUGGGUGAAAUAUUGAGGAAAUAGUGAAUCACAUGUGGCAUAAGACCUAAAUUUGGAAGAAAAUGGCUCAGUGUUGUGUCUAUGGCUGCUCGGAGAAUGGUGGGGUUGUAUUUCCUCGCGACAAGAGGCCGAGGAAGAUAUGGCUCAGUGGCUGCAAUGGAUUUCAUCCCAUCAAACACUUGGUUGUGUGUCGGAAGUAUUUCACCGACGAUGAUUUUUUGGAAUAUACUGCCUACGGUACAAGAAUGGGCUCAACAGGCAGAUGAAAUGGAGAAGAGUGCUCCACCUCCACCUGACGUUGCUGCUUAUGAGGAGUGCAACGCUGAAGGGGGUGUGCUGCACCACUGCGGGGCUAUUUGAUGGUGCUGUCAAUAUCAGCACCAAGGUUCAAUGUCCAAGAUCUGUUAGCCUGUCGUGAUGUACGUGGUCAUAACACCAGCGUUCCUUAAAGGGAAGUCCCAGCUCUCCCGCUGAAUGCACUCAGUCGCUCCCUAUCACGAGGGAUCAUAUCCAUGUCGGGCGUAUGAUUGGUCUGAUCAAGACUUACUCGUUUCUUAGUGGGUUAAUCGAUGCCGGUUACGUACCUGUUCUUUCAGACAUAUUCCGUUUUGUGUGUCUCGUCUGUAGCCUGCAGAAAUCGCUCAUUCAGGUGGCGGGGAUGUGCGCGCUCUGGGACGUUAGGCAGACUGAGCUUCACCGUCUCAUGUUUAUUGUACAUGCCUACAUUUGUGAAUGGUGCUUUGGAGGGCUACAUGUGUAUGCUCGUGCACAGUGCAUUGCUUGAAAGCUGUAUGUUCUUUGGUAAUCGGUGGUAUUUAAUGCUUUUGAGUUUUGGAGCUUGCCUUGUCGAAGUGGUUUAGCUAGAACUCUGCUAUGUUUCGAUGUCAGUUCAAUACACCGCUGUUGACUAUCAUACACUGCUUCAAAAGCCA